rnacentral:tRNA from 1 species
AGUCCCGUAGCUCAGUUGGUUAGAGCACUACCUUGACAUGGUAGGGGUCAGCGGUUCGAGUCCGCUCGGGACUA